rnacentral:lncRNA from 1 species
ACAGGUACGUGGGCGGGCGGAUCGUGGUGGCUGCGCUUGCGAGGACCCUGAGGUAGAUUGGGUGGUUUCAACAGGAACGCAUCCACUGUCUGAGAGUUUAAACUUGAUUUUGUGAGGGGACGAACAGCGUGACAAUUAAAAGAAGAUCUGGGAAUCAAAAGCUUCCUGAGGCCUUCACCAGAAGCAGAUGCUGGUGCCGUGCUUCUACAGCCUGCAGAACUAAGAGAAGACAUGGAGAAGAGGAGGGAGUAGUUGUGACCGUGGAGGCAGAGAAUGGAGUAAUGUGAUCAUAAAUCAAGGAAUGCUGACAGCCACUAAAGCUGGAGAAGGCCAAGGACAGAUAUUCAAUCCUCCCGUAGAAGUACAGCCCUGCUAAUGCAUUGAUUUUGGACUUCUGGCCUCAGAACUAUUUAUAUAUCAGCUUUUUAUCAGUUGAAAUAAACCACCCUGGGCCGGGUGCAGUGGCUCACACCUGUAAUCCCAGCACUUUGGGAGGCCGAGGUCUGGAAAGCAUGGAAAUUUGUAUCUUCAUUCACUUUUGUUUUCAUGGACUCUUUUCAUGUUUGAACUUUUCAUGAUCCAAUGUGAUAAUUUAUGUGAAAUCUUUCUGCAAACUAUACAGUAUGAUAAAAAUAUAAGGUAGUUUCACUGGAAACAACAGAAGACUAGAAGCUGAUGUGACGUGGCAAUAUCAACCAGGAAUACCCAUCUCGAGUUCUGGAUAUGUGCUCUGAGAAGGUGCCCAUGUCACCGACCACACUGGAGGCCAAUGCAGAUACUGGGGGAAGGUUCCAUGGUAGCUAAGUGUGGACAAGCUAAUCACUGAAGUUCCCUGAUGCAGAGUUGAUAAUCUCUCUAGAGUUGGAUGAAAGACUGUGCUGCCUUGAAGCUCUGAGAGAUGCCAUGCCAAUUCAAGGCAGGGUCUUUAUUGUUGAAACUCUUGCGUAAUGACAUCUUUAUUCAGGUGAAAAUACAGGAUGAAUUUCAACUAUAUGAUAUUGUUUAUGUUCCUCAGACAUGUUAUUUGUCUUUACAAAGAUUGGUUUCAAUAAACUGUGUGACUGAUAUUAAAUAAACAUGGAAUUUUACACAUUCAUAAUA